rnacentral:rRNA from 1 species
CGUAGGUGGCAAGCGUUGUCCGGAUUUAUUGGGUUUAAAGGGUGCGUAGGCGGUUCUAUAAGUCAGUGGUGAAAUCCGGCAGCUCAACUGUCGAUGUGCCAUUGAUACUGCAGAACUUGAGUACAGACGAGGUAGGCGGAAUUGACGGUGUAGCGGUGAAAUGCUUAGAUAUCGUCAAGAACACCGAUAGCGAAGGCAGCUUACUAGACUGUAACUGACGCUGAUGCACGAAAGUGUGGGGAUCAAACAGGAUUAGAUACCCUGGUAGUCCACACUGUAAACGAUGAUUACUCGAUGUUGGCGAUACACAGCCAGCGUCUUAGCAAAAGCGAUAAGUAAUCCACCUGGGGAGUACGCCGGCAACGGUG